rnacentral:rRNA from 1 species
UACGAAGGGGGCUAGCGUUGUUCGGAAUCACUGGGCGUAAAGCGCAUGCAGGCGGGUCGUUAAGUUAGGGGUGAAAUCCCGAGGCUCAACCUCGGAACUGCCUCUGAUACUGGCGACCUUGAGUCCGGGAGAGGUGAGUGGAACUGCGAGUGUAGAGGUGAAAUUCGUAGAUAUUCGCAAGAACACCAGUGGCGAAGGCGGCUCACUGGCCCGGUACUGACGCUGAGGUGCGAAAGCGUGGGGAGCAAACAGG